rnacentral:rRNA from 1 species
UGGGGAAUCUUCCGCAAUGGGCGAAAGCCUGACGGAGCAACGCCGCGUGAACGAAGAAGGCCUUCGGGUCGUAAAGUUCUGUCCUCAGGGAAGAACCCUCAUGGGAGGAAAUGCCCAUGAGCUGACGGUACCUGGGAAGGAAGCCCUGGCUAACUACGUG